GUCAGCAUGGCAUAGUGGUUUGAGUAUUGGACUAUGGCUCUGGAGACCAGGGUUUGAUUCUCAGUUUGGCCA
rnacentral:tRNA from 1 species